UAAAGCGCGCGUAGGCGGACUGGAAAGUUGGGGGUGAAAUCCCGGGGCUCAACCCCGGAACUGCCUCCAAAACUCCCAGUCUUGAGUUCGAGAGAGGUGAGGUGGAAUUUCCGAGUGUAGAGGUGAAAAUUCGUAGAUAUUCGGAGGAACACCAGUGGCGAAGGCGGCUCACCUGGCUCGAUACUGACGCUGAGGUGCGAAAAGUGUGGGGAGCAAACAGGAUUAGAUACCCUGGUAG
rnacentral:rRNA from 1 species